rnacentral:tRNA from 1 species
GCCGAGGUGGUGGAAUCGGUAGACACGCUGUCUUGAGGGGGCAGUGCCUGAAAAGGUGUAGGAGUUCAAAUCUCCUCCUCGGCA